rnacentral:lncRNA from 1 species
AACCCACAAAACCUCCAAAACUAGACUUCGAUAAUUUUUUGCAAACCCUACUAUUUAACAUCAAGCAACCCCCGGAAGCUUCAACAUAGUCCCAUCCCCGCAGUGUAUAGCUUGGUGGAACCCCGCCAGCUCCUCUCUUCUCUCCCUUUCACCAGCAUAUAUAGUAGAACUACUAGUCGCAACUGGAAGAUCUGGCCACUCAUCCAUAACACAACGAUAUGGCAGCAGUUCGACUCCUCGCUACUACUAUAUGAUGUAUGAGCACCUCUUUCACAUGGCCAGCUCUCAUAUAUACAAGGUCUAAUACUCCCUAGGCCCCACCCACCGUUCGACUACUUAUACUAUAACCAACACAG